rnacentral:lncRNA from 1 species
AUGGAUGUUAUAAUAGAACUUUGGAUUCAGAAUUCGAAUAGUAGACUACCAAUACAGUUUAUAAUUUAUUUAGUAUAAUAAUUGCACUUAAAAUAAAUAGCAAUAUAUGGCAAGCAGGCAUAUGAGUGAAAUUACCUAUAAGAUGCAACUCCUUAUCCAUUUGAUAAUCCCGCCUUUGGUUGAUGAUGUCAAUAAACUCGUACUGAUGCUUUCGUUCUCCCUACUAAAUCUGGGCCCUGGCAACCAUCAUCAUGUGGUAGAGGAAGCCUAUUUGGGGAUAUCUUUCACUAUCCAUGGCUCUCAGCACUCUGUAAAAUAGCUUGAUAGCUUUCAUAAUCCUCUCGACCCGCUACCAAAAUUGUUGGCUUGUCACCAAGUCCUCGUGACUUCCCUUGGUGCCAGCUUGAGAUAUCUACUCUCUUGUCACUCGACACCAAGGAACAUCUGAUGUAGGCUUGUUUUCUUCUCAAUGAGACUAUCGAGUACAAUGUAAUUCAUAGUAAACCAUGUGAAUGCCAACCUCAAGAUGUCACCGUGAUGUACUUCCUCAUCAAAGCAAGCACCUAUGUGUGGUUGUAUAUGAACAAUGUGAUGGACUAGAUUAUCUUCAUGACCUAAUUCACAUUGUGAAUCUUCUUGAGAUCCAUCAACAUGAGAUCAAUGCAAUAUACAACACAUAGGGUCCAUAAUAUAUAUGGCCACCUGUCCAUCAAGAUCGUCCCGAUAGCCCUAUACUGUGGUUCAUUAUUAGUGACCACCUACACGAUAUUACAUCCUUCUAUCUGAUUAAUCACCUCCUUCAUUAUCUAUGAAUGUAAUAAAGGUCAUGCACCAGAUCGAAACAUCAAUAAAGUUUUGGAAGAAAGUUUUUAUAUCACAG